GGUAUUGAAAUAAGAUUUUAAAUGAGUGCUAAGAGAAUGAUUAAACAAUUAAAAGCUUUCUUUAAUUAAAAAAUUAAAUUUAAUUUUUUUAGUGCAAAAGCAAAAAUAAAAUUUAGGGACAAGAAGACCCUAUGAAUUUUUAUUGUUAAUAAUUAAUAUUUAAGUAAUUAAUAAUUUAAUUGGGGCGAUAAAAAAAGAAUAAGUAUCUUUUUAGUUAUAAAAUAAGUUCCGUUUUUAGCGAUUAAAUGAAAUAAAUACUCUAGGGAUAACAGCGUAAUAAUUUUGGAUAGUUCAUAUAGAUAAAAUAGUUUGCGACCUCGAUGUUGGAUUAGGAUUCUUUUUUGGUGAAGAA
rnacentral:rRNA from 1 species